CCCGCUCAGAAACUCAAAGGAAUUGACGGGGGCCCGCACAAGCGGUGGAGCAUGUGGUUUAAUUCGAUGAUACGCGAGGAACCUUACCUGGGCUCAAAUGUAUGUUGACGUAUUCUGAAAGGGAUACUUCUUCGGACAAUAUACAAGGUGCUGCAUGGUUGUCGUCAGCUCGUGCCGUGAGGUGUCGGGUUAAGUCCCAUAACGAGCGCAACCCCUAUCAUUAGUUGCCAUCAGGUAAUGCUGGGGACUCUAAAGGAACUGCCUACGCAAGUAGUGAGGAAGGCGGGGAUGACGUCAAAUCAGCACGGCCCUUACGUCCAGGGCUACACACGUGCUACAAUGGCCGAUACAGAGGGCAGCUACCUGGUGACAGGAUGCAAAUCUCCAAAGUCGGUCUCAGUUCGGAUCGGAGUCUGCAACCCGACUCCGUGAAGUUGGAUUCGCUAGUAAUCGCGCAUCAGCCAUGGCGCGGUGAAUACGUUCCCGGGCCUU
rnacentral:rRNA from 1 species